ensembl:lncRNA
GGGGCAGUCAGAUCUCUUAGCAAACUGUAUGUUUUUGGGCCAAUUAAACUCAACAACGCUGGUACUCUUUUGUUAUCAGCAAUGUCGUUUGCAAUGAAGUACUGUUCCAGUCGUUCAAUGUAAGUUGCCCAGUUUUCUUGCGUGUCAUCAAACACAUCUAUUUUCCCGAUGCUAGCCAUUCUCUUUACCUCCGGCUCCACGGGUCUUUGAUCUGCCGCCUCGUUCUCGUCAGCUCUCCCCUCGUCUUCACUUCUUGCUAGCUGUUGUGCUACAGGGUCAAAAUCUUCCUCUCUUCCUACGAACUCCAUCUGUAUUCGUGAUGCACACUGCAGAUGAAUGUGGUACCUUCAGGCAUUUGGAAAUUGCUCCCAAGGAUGAACCAGACUUGUGGAGGUCUACAAUUUUUUUCUGAGGUCUUGGAUGAUUUAUUUGGAUUUUCCCAUGAUGUCAAGCAAAGAGGCACUGAGUUUGAAGUGCGUUUCAUCAACUAUAAACUUCACAAAGGAGAUUCAAGGAUGCAAGCUUUGAAAGCAGAGUGUCGAUACACCAGCUUGUAUACCUAACAAACAAUGGUUUUCCUUCCCUGAGCCCUUUUUUCUCUUUCAAGGUUUGGGUGAUAGAGAUAGGGAGGGAGGAUACUCAUUUCAACCACCAUAUCAAGUAACUGUCAGCAUGUCUAGACCAGGUGUUUCAGAUGCUGUUGCCUGGUCAUCGCUAAGGAAUUAAAGCCCUUGUGGGUCACAAUACCGCUGGGCUUUAGGGCCUAUAGAAACCAAACAGCCCAUUGUUGUCACUGAGAACUUUACUUUUCAUGAGAUGGCUGAUAGGUUUGUUUUGUCUGCACUACCUCCUCCCAAUCCAUCACACGGCACUGACAAAAUAUUAAAUGUUGACAGCUCCUCUGAUUACAGGAGAGGGAAAAUUAGUGCUUUCCACCUGAGUUUAGCCUUUAAGUGAUCAUCUUUCCACCUGUUAUACCUUACCUUGCCUUUGUCCAGCCAAAUGAAAUUUGCAAGUCAAACGACAGUUUGAACGUAAAAAUAUUUGUUUAUCAAAUUGCGUUUUUUGGCAUUAAUGCCUUCUCGAACAUGUAAACUUUCAUUAACAACAAACAUGUAUGCCAUCUGUAAAUACAAAUAAAAUUGUUUAAUUACCAGCCUUGUUUGUUACGCCACAAAAAAGACAGCAACCUUCCCACGAUUGGCUAAGAUAAUGAGUGGGCUGGACAUGCCGAGAAAGGAGUUCAGAUUGGUCUGCCAUAUAGAUGGCUUCUGUCUAUUUGAGCUGGUCAGUCUGUAUUGGUAAUCCUGACGAAUGCGGCUUUAAAAAAAUGUAUUGUGUAGUGGAGCUGCAUAAGUGUUGCUCUCCACUUUCUGGAGGAUCAAGUUUUGAAAUCAGUGAAAUUAGAAUAUGAUUGCUAAAGAGAUGGAGAAAACACCCAUCUCCGGAUUACAUCUUCAAACUAAGGGCAACCGUGGCAUGGCAUUCAUGACAGGGAGACGCGUCCAUCAUGCAUGAUGACGUAUACUGGUAAGAUAAUAUAACGUUAGCUAGCUACAUUUUCAGAUAUUAGACAUUUAUAAUUUUGACAAAGUGGUUUCAUUUGAAGAUAAAGUGUACUGUUAGCUAGCUAGCUAACGUUAGCUGGCUGGCUCCCUAGCAGACGCUAUUAUUCGUAUACCAGAGCCAUUUGCUUUGCUAGUUAGAGCCUAAUGUUAGCUAGCUAACAUUAAAUCUGGUUGGUUAGUUUCCAGCAUAUUCAUGCAGGGUAGUAACGAUAUGAUUUGGCACUGUGUUAAUUGUUGUUUAACUAGCUAGUUAGCUGGCUGGCUUAAAGUGUACAACACUCUUGAAUAUGGCCUGUGUCAGUAAAUGUAUGCAAAAAAAAGUAAUGAAAUUGUUGCCAGCAGAGGUGGUUAGGCUGUUUUCCAUAGGUUAACAAAUCAUUGGCCAGAGUGUCAAGUGUGCGCUCUCAACGCUCUAAGCAAAAUUAGAUGGGUGGGGAUAAAGCUUAAGAGGGUGUGAACAAUGCUGAAUGGGUGUAGACAAAGAAGAGCUCUUCACUAGAUACGAACUGUCACGCCUUUCCCCGCUCUGGCGCUCGAGGGUGCCAGGCUGCCCAUCAUUACGCACACCUGUCACCGUCGUUACGCGCGUCAGCGCUUCAUUGGACUCACCUGGACUCCAUCACUUUAUUGAUUGCCUCCUCUGUCUUUGCCUCAAUUUGAUCCCUUUGUCAGCAUUAAUGUCGUUGGGUUUCCCCUGUCCAGACACUGUCCGUGUUUUGUUUCAUGUCUGUUAUUUAUUAAAUAUUCACUCCCUGUACCUGCUUCUCGUCUCCCAGUGUCUGUCCUCACAAAAACAUUAAAAGGCC